GGAGGGUUCGCAUAGUGGCCGAGUGCGGCGGUCUUGAAAACCGCUAGGGCGUCCGCGUCCUCGUGGGUUCGAAUCCCACACCCUCCG
rnacentral:tRNA from 1 species